rnacentral:tRNA from 1 species
ACGUUCGUAACUCAGUUGGUUAGAGUGUCACCAUGACAUGGUGAAAGUCAGUGGUUCGAAUCCACUCGAACGUA